rnacentral:lncRNA from 1 species
GUCGUUCUCCGCUGUUAUCACUAGCACCGAAGAGUGUCCUCCAUCCUCGGUCGCCGGAGGGUUGCAAGAGGAAGGCUUGUGCGGUGUAGCACCUGAAAGUUUGCCUGAAGUUCUGGGAUUCCGAGGUUUGCCGGAUGUAGGAGAAGGCAAUCAAAAAAUGGUCUCAAAAAACUAAACAAUUGCAUAAUAAUGUAAGAUAAAUCUAUGAAUAUUUACUACAUCACAAUCCGGAAGAACCUUUUGCAGAACAUAACCUUACGGCGGCGUUUCAUGCUCUUAUCCGUUGUGGUUUGAAAGGAGAUAGUGUAGCCAUCUAGAUUAAAGGCAUAAAACGUUUUAUAGUAUAUUUAACUAAUCGACAUUAUCAAAGUGGAGAUAUACAAAAAAUAGUAUUGGAAAUACGUGAACAAAUGACAAGACGGAAGCAAGUUACAGAACGGCUAAGAGCAAUCAAACGUCGCAGACACUAUGCAGAUUUACCUGAACCAACAGAAAUUGAACAGUUCCGAUGGAUGGAGGAAAUACAAUCGAAAAUAGAAGACAUCAUUACACAAGAUACAGUUACAAUAGACGAGUUUAGCAUUUUUAUAUCUUACAUGGCAGGUUGCAUGCUAUAUGUCGGUCACCGUUCGCAAACGAUAACCAAUUUCUGAAUAUCAAAUAGGAUUACAAACUAAUGUCUUCUUCGUUUCCGACGUGAAAUCACUUCAAGCAUCUCAAGCAGGUUUUCAUCUAUCUGCAGAGCUGCAACGGUCCGUGUUUCAUUUCUAUUAUGUGAAAGUGAGACCGUUAUGGUCACCGAGACGGACUGUUUCUUCAUCAACACCGAACGAACAGCUCUGCAGAAACCAUUACAGUUUACCAAACGAAUGCUUACUAAACAAAACCUAACAGAUAUGUCUUUCAACUGUAUUGAAUACCGACAUAUAGUGGCAACAACAAUUCAAGAUAUAGUUUCAGAUGAUAACAGUAGGAGAUGGCUGCACGCAGAAAUUAACCAAUCUCAGGAAACUGCAGUCAAAGGAUACAGGAUUCACACUAGGAAAAGAACGCAGAAAACUGAAGAAAUUGAAUAUUAAUAAAAUGUAAUCAAAUAUAUUGAUAAAUUAAUAUAUAUAUAUAUUUAUCACUAAUAAAAUUAUUGCUC